rnacentral:rRNA from 1 species
UAGAUACCCGGGUAGUCCACGCCGUAAACGAUGUGCACUAGGUAUAGGAGGUAUUGACCCCUUCUGUGCCGUAGCUAACGCAUUAAGUGCACCGCCUGGGGAGUACGGUCGCAAGACUAAAACUCAAAGGAAUUGACGGGGGCCCGCACAAGCGGUGGAUUAUGUGGUUUAAUUCGAAGCAACGCGCAGAACCUUACCUAGGCUUGAAGUCCUACGAACCCUGCCCAAAAGCGGGGGUGCCCCUUGGGGAAUGUAGUGAUAGGCGCUGCAUGGCCGUCGUCAG